CGGCGGAAAUUGCAACAGAUGGCGCUAGUGAGCAGGAGUUUUUCACCUUUUAAAUAUAUGAAGAAAGUUACAAAAAAUGGAUUUUUGACUUAAUAAACGUUUUAUCAGAAAAAAUAUUUGGUACAGGUUGUAGGUAAUUAUGAUAGCUAUCUACGUUACCAAAUAUUUUUUACCAAAAUUUCGAAAUAUUUGAAAUAAUUGACAAAAUGUUCAAAUCUUCAUACAUUUUUUCGGUUGAAAACUUCUGCCUCGAUUCUGUUGAUCUUCAUUUGCCUAUACAUGGGCAUCAUGAAUAUACAUGGAUUCAUGUUUAUCCAUCUGUCAAAUGAAAACAAAACAAAGUUUUUCCCAAAGCAAACGUGAACGUGGGUCGACAAAAAAAAGGAAAGGUAAACAUUUGAAACAAUAAUCAGUACAAAUUUAUGUAAUAAUUUGUAAUUUAAAUCUGUAUUCCAGUGAAAAAGGGUGCGGAAAGUGUUAAACGGUGCGUUCCGGAACACUACGUCCUCCACCAGGCAACACAAUCAUCGUCGACUGUGGGAAAUGUUCGGUGGCAGUGCGACGAAGCUCUCGCUGGAACUUCAGGAGGAGUUGCAGUAUAAAUGUUUACGUCUGGAGUGUUCCUGGGCCGUUUAUGGCAUCCACCCGUCCGGUGUCCAAGAAUACCCUCUGCGCAACCCAUUCGAUCUACGGUCGGUACACUUCCGCCGAUGGAUGCGAUUCCCGUGAGUCGAUCGAGAGGAAUGGUGGACUAAGACGGGCGAGAAGCCAAUCUACGUACAUCAGCGUCGAGAUCAGCGUCGAUAGAAUCGUGCAAGGGUUUGGUUCGGUGGAGCCGGAUCGGAACGGAAGAAACCAACAACAGCAAUAAGUUUCUUCUGGCAGUCAUGGCUGCUCAAUAUUUUGCAACCCAGUUAUCACAUGGCGAACAGCAUUGUAGACACCUCCGUUCUGGUCACCAUCAGCAAAAGAGGCAGUAAUGUUAUUUCACUGUUUUAGUUUUUAUUUGCGUAUUAGUAAUAAAAAGCGGGGCGGGGGGUUUGUUGGUUGGCUCUAUAAAAUAUCCGAAAAAACAAGGGUAGAUUCACCAUCUUUUCCUAAGUUAAAACUUGCAAAUGGUAAGUGGUUUUUACAUUCAAGUUAAAGUCAAUAGUGCCAGCGUUAUUUUAAAAUUUGUCCCAAAAUUCAAAAAUAGUUCAAAAGUGAUUUUGAUCCAAGUUUUAUUCCCAAGCUGCGGGGUGACACAUUUCAUAUCUAUUUUGUGAAUCAUAUUCGUUUUCCUAAAAGUUUGAAAUACUUUGAUUAUUGCGUUUAAUUAUUCAAGUUCCCCAAUUCCACCAAAGUUGCGAGGUGACUCAUAUCUUUUUAUUUCUUCUCAAAAGUUUGAAAUUCUUUGAGAGAUUCUUGAAUUUAAUCAUAAAUGAUCGAAACUGGUUCACCCAGUUUUCCUAAGUUGCGAGGUGACGCAUAUCGAGAACAUUUUGUUCUCAUAAGUUUAAAAUACUUCGAGAUUCUUGAAAUAAAUCAUUAAUGAUCGAAACUGGUUCACCAAGUUCUCCUAAGUUGCGA